GUUAGCUGUGAACACCCUUGUGACUGCUCACGACGGUUAUGGAUGAUUUCAGAUUUUAAUCAUUUAGUGAAAUGUUUUCGAACAUCUACUUUGGAUGAUAAGCUACAAGAGUUCAAGACCCCUUACGGAACUGUGAAAAAAAGACAUUGGGAAGCGGUAUUAGAGGAAGAGAAUUAUCGUCAGCCUAACUUAAAAAUCGCUUACAAGUUAACACCAGCGCAUUUGAAACCGAAAGGUUUUCAAGUAAUGAAUGUUCCUCUUGCAACUGAAGUGUUUGGUCACGAAAUUUCGGUCGCCAUGGCUCACUAUCAACCCUAUUGCGAGGAAUUGAAGGAUUCAACUGCAACACAAAAAUUUAUUGAUCUUGUAUUCAAUUUGAUACAAG